AUUGAACGCUGGCGGCAGGCCUAACACAUGCAAGUCGAACGAGUGGCGGACGGGAGAGUAAUGUCUGGGAAACUGCGCGAUGGAGGGGGAUAACUAGUGGAAACGGUAGCUAAUACCGCAUACCAUCGGAUGUGCCCAGAUGGGAUUAGCGAGUAGGUGGGGUAACGGCUCACCAAGGCGACGAUCCCUAGCUGGUCUGAGAGGAUGACCAGCCACACUGGAAAUGAGAAACGGUCCAGACUCCUACGGGAGGCAGCAGUGGGGAAUAUGGCACAAUGGGCGCAAGCCGGAUGCAGCCACGCGGCGUGAAUGAAGAAGGCCUUCGGGGUGUAAAGUACUUUCAGCGGGGAGGCGUUACCCGCAGAAGAAGCACCGGCUAACUCCGUGCCAGCAGCCGCGGUAAUAC
rnacentral:rRNA from 1 species